UACGUAGGGAGCGAGCGUUGUCCGGAAUUACUGGGCGUAAAGGGCGCGUAGGCGGGAACUUAAGUUAGAUGUGAAAACUCCGGGCUUAACCUGGAGACUGCAUUUAAAACUGGGUUUCUUGAGGGCAGGAGAGGAAAGUGGAAUUCCUAGUGUAGCGGUGAAAUGCGUAGAUAUUAGGAGGAACACCAGUGGCGAAGGCGACUUUCUGGACUGUACCUGACGCUGAGGCGCGAAAGCAUGGGGAGCGAACA
rnacentral:rRNA from 1 species